rnacentral:lncRNA from 1 species
GCGUGAAGUCAAAUAUGCUGAAUGGCUCUCCAUCAACAAAUUAAAGAGGCAAAUAUAAAAUCCAGAUUUGUCAGAUUCUGAAAGCACAAGAAAGUUACCUGGGUACUGCACUGCAAAGCUAUGCAGACUGGAAGUGUCCAAACUCUGGUACCCAGUCAUGAUCAGAGAAAACAGAUCCAGUUUUAUGGAGAGAAAAGGUACCGGUGACAUGGUCUUCGUAUUCCCCAUAAAGAAUAUACAGGAGUCUGUUCUCUAUGUCUGCAUCUCCAUUCAUGGUUUAGUCACUCAUCUCCAUUCGUGGUUUAUAUCUCACUCUUGCAGCCCCAUGGAUUGUAGUCCACCAGGCUCUUCUGUCCAUGGAAUUUCCCAGGUAAGAAUACUGGAGUGGGUUGCCAUUUUGUUCUCCAGGGGAUCUUCCCGACCCUGGGAUCAAACCUGCAUCUCCUGUGUUACAGCUGGUCUCCUGCACUGCUGGUGGAUUCUUUACCAACUGAGACACCAGGGAAGCCCUCUGCAUCUCCAUUGCUGCCCUGCAAAUAGGUUCAUCAGUUCCAUCUUUCUGGAUUCCAUAUAUGUGUGUUAA